GAGGUCAAAAGGAUGAAUUAUACAGUAACCAUAUUCACGUAGGUUCUGAGUGUUGCGAUUGUGACUAUUCGACCUAUCCGGUCAUCGGAUACCAUUGCUAGAUGGUCACUUCGAUUAGUACAGAAAUUGGUUCCUAUGCUACUGGCUUAGGUUCGAACCUGCGGGGUCACACACAUUAGAGGUUUCUAUCUGAUCUGAUGGC
rnacentral:lncRNA from 1 species